AUGCUCGGGCGCGCGGGGGCCGCCAAGAAGGCGAGCAAGUUCGAGGACUCGGACAGCAGCAGCCGCAUUUCACGGCCCAGGGCCAUGUCCGAGCUGCCGCACCGGCUCGCCACUCGCGUGCCAACGCGCCCGAGGACGGCGACGGUGGCCGUGGGCGCGGAGGCGAGUGGCGGCGCGCGUCACCGUGGUGCCGGCGUCGGCCGAGGGGCGGCGCCCCGCAGCCCACUGCACGAGAAGAAACCCGCAGAUGCGAUCGCUGGUGGUGGCGGUGGUGCAGGGCCGCGGGCGGCGGAGCUGGAGGCCAAGCUGGGGAGGGCGCACGACCAGCUGGCGGCCAUGCGGGAGCAGCUCGCAGCCGCCGAGAAGGCCAGGAAGGACGCGCGCGGCGCCUUCGCCGAGGCCAAGAAGCGGUUCGCCGCGAACGCAAAGAAGAGGGAAGCCGCCGCUCCGGCGCCGGUCGAACAGGAUACCAAUGUGCGGCCGCCAGAACAGAGGCAGCAGGAAGAGGAGGCAGAAGUUGUCGCGGACGACGUUGCAAAUGGUGACGGCGAGGAGAGAAGAGGCAUGGUCGACCCCGAGCACAAUGAGUCCCGGGUUGAGGAGGUGGCCGAGAAGACGACUGAUAAUGGCCAUGAGGUGAGCAACAGUAUUGCCGUCGUUGGAGACGACGGUGGUGGCAACGAGGGAAACCCGGAGGCCGACCAGCUGUGGAGCAAGCUUGUGGCGAAAGACAGGGAGGUGUACGAGCUGAGGGCGAAGCUGAUGCUGAAGGACAUGGAGGUCGACGAGCUGAGAUUGGAGCUGACGGCGAAGGACGCGAACAUCGGCAUGCUGACGGCAGAGCUGGUCGCAAAGGAUGCCGAGUUCGCCGCUCUCAGAGCCGAGAACGCCGAGCUCACGAAGACGGCCUCCGACGCCGCCGAUGCCGGCAGGAAGACGACGGCCGCGAAGGCGAGGGAAGCCGAGCGCGCGCUGAUGGACAGCGCGGCGCGGGAGUCCCGGCUAGCCGAGCGACUGAGGGAGUCGGAGCGUGCGCGGGAGGCGCUGGAGGCCGAGGCGCGCCGCAUCCGCGUCCAGAGCGAGCAGUGGCGCAAGGCGGCCGAGGAGGCCGCGGCGGUGCUCGGCGGCGCGGGUCACCACGUUGGCGCGGAGGAGACGGACGAGGACAAGCAGCGGGACGCGGGAGACGGGGGCUCCGGUGGGAAGAGGAAGCCGGCCGGCGGCGCCGUGCGGCUGCUCGCCGACCUGUGGAAGAAGAGGGCGUCCAAGUGA
rnacentral:rRNA from 1 species